GNNGNCCAAUGUCUCACAUAUCGCUGGCGGGUUGCUGAACAGCAUGCAAGUCGAACGAUGGAACCGCUUUCGGGCGGGGAUUAUUGGCAAACGGGUGAUUAACACGUGGGCAAUCUGCCCUUCACUCUGGGACAAGCCCUGGAAACGGGGUCUAAUACCGGAUAACACCUUCACUCCUCCUGGGGGAGAGGUUAAAAGCUCCAGGCGGUGAAGGAUGAACCACGCGGCCUAUCAGCAUUGUUGGUGGGGUAAUGGCCUACCAAGGCAACAACGGGUAGACCGGCCUGAGAGGGCGAACCGGCCAACACUGGGACUGAAACACGGCCCAAACUCCUACGGGAGGCAGCAGUGGGGAAUAUUGCACAAUGGGCGAAAUCCUGAUGCAGCCGACGCCGCGUGAGGGAUGACGGCCUUCGGGUUCUAAACCUCUUUCAGCAGGGAAGAAGCGAAAGUGACGGUACCUGCAGAAGAAGCGCCGGCUAACUACGUGCCAGCAGCCGCGGUGAAUACU
rnacentral:rRNA from 1 species